UGGAGGCAGCAGUGGGGAAUCUUGCGCAAUGGGCGAAAGCCUGACGCAGCAACGCCGCGUGUGUGAUGAAGGUCUUCGGAUCGUAAAGCACUGUCGGGAGGGACGAAUAAGGCGCGGGCUAAUAUCCCGUGCCGAUGACGGUACCUCCAAAGGAAGCACCGGCUAACUCUGUGCCAGCAGCCGCGGUAAUACAGAGGGUGCGAGCGUUGUUCGGAAUUAUUGGGCGUAAAGCGCGUGUAGGCGGCCAGGCAAGUCGGGUGUGAAAGCCCUCGGCUUAACCGAGGAAGUGCGCCCGAAACUACCUGGCUUGAGUACCGGAGAGGGCGGCGGAAUUCCCGGUGUAGAGGUGAAAUUCGUAGAUAUCGGGAGGAACACCAGUGGCGAAGGCGGCCGCCUGGACGGAUACUGACGCUGAGACGCGAAAGCGUGGGGAGCAAACAGGCUUAGAUACCCUGGUAGA
rnacentral:rRNA from 1 species